AAAAAAGGCUAGGGGUGCCCGAAAGGGCUGAGAGGCGGAAAGCUAACCCUGUAACCUGAUCUGGUUAGUACCAGCGUAGGGAAGCGGAAAAAGUGGUUU
rnacentral:ncRNA from 2 species